CGCCACCAGGGAAAGGCAGUCACCUCUAGAACACCAGAAGAGAUCCAUUCUCCCAAAUCCCAGCAGCAUUAGCCGGAGCUGAAGGGCUGCUCAAGAGGCUGCUGUGUAAAUUCUGCAGCCAGUGUGGGGCGCCAGGCAGUAAUGGAACAGCAGCAGUUUUACUCCAUGUGUGGAUCCUUUAACUCGCUCUCCUCUGUGGGAUUUCGCACCAACUCUGCACAGCCUUGACUAGAGCUGCUGCACAUAACCUAACACAGGUCUUCAGUUCUUUUAUCCACUAGACCUGAUGAACAAACAGAAAGACAGUGAAAAGAGAAAACACACAACAGCAACGAGAAUUAAACCAAUUAUUCUGGUGCCCCAGUAGAGCUAUAAGCUUACUUGCAAGAGCUCAUUUUGGCGUCUGUCCAGCAGGUGCCAUGCGGGAAACCCAGAAGCAUUCAACCAGGAACAAUAGUAAGGAGUUUCCCAAAGGAUAUCACACUUUACCCACUACAUUAUUAUUAAGAAGAAGAAGCAAACCUUGUCGCCAAAAGAAACACAUGUAAAAUUAUUUUUAUAGGUUUUACCAUAGAGGUUUCCCAUUCCACACUGGCUAAAAGAUAUUUACGCAAGUUACAACAAGUUUAUCGUGAGAGUGCAUCAUAUACCACUACACAAAUAGCAUAUUAUAAGUAGCCUAAGGUCAGUCUAGCAUCUGUGCAAUAGAGAUGAUGGGAGGCCAAGCUCCUCCCCAGAGCUCAAACCGGCUGCUAGAUUGACAUACACAGCAGGCUCGACCAGCCUCCCUUGCCAGUGAAAACCAGAAGCAGAAUGGAAGAGAGCACAUGCGCCGCUGCCUCCUCCCCCAUGGCUCUCAGCUCUUACUGUAGGCCCCCAUAGUCAGGAUGCCCUCCACCUACCUGUAGACCUAAAAUGGCUGUCUUUUAUCAGUACUAAUAUUUGCACACGGUGACAUGUGCAUCAUAUUGCCAGAAUUCAGUGCAACCCAUUGGUUGCACUGUUCAAGACAUGAGUCUCAAGAGACAGGGACGGUGGCAUGAGGCUGGAGAAACCCAGUGAGGAUUUGAGGCUGGAUAAACACAGGAGAGGCAUAAGGCUGGAGAAACUCAGUGAAGAUUUGACAUUGGAGAAACACAGGACAGGCAUGAAGCUGGAGAGACCAAGUAAGGAUUUGAGGCUGGAAAAACACAGGUGAGGCAAUGGGCAGGAGAGAUACAGUGAGAAUUUGAAGCUGUAGAUACUCAUGGGUGGCAUGAGGAUUUGAGGCUGGAGAGACAUAGGGGAGGUAUGAGGCUGAAGAGACAGUGAGACUUUGAGGCUGGAGAAACACAGGGGAGGCAUGAGGCUGGAGAGACAGUGAUAAUUUGAGGCUGGAGAAACAGGGGCGGCAUGAGGCUGGAGAAACACAAAUCACAGCACUGUACAGCUUUGAAUGAGGCCGAGAGGGCACAGCUCACUACACCAUGACUAUCGCACCUUCCACCUUAACGUCAACUUUCAGCAUCACCAGCCAUCUUGAAUUUUUAAGCCAGUAACAAUGUAUGUAAUAUCAUUGUUUAGAAUACAGCAGAGACUAACAGUCUGUAUAUUAUGGCUUAGAUUGUUCCUUAUCAUGGAUUUAGAAUCUCACAAUACAUUUGUCAUUGCUUAUGUAAGAGUUUGUUUAUACCAUGUCCAUGCUGGUGUCAUCAUAGCACAGGCAACCUGAGUAUUCAGUGAUUAACACUUCUGUCUCAGAUUAUAACAGCUAUUUAUUUAUCCCUCAUUAACACUCAAGUUUUGAUAGAUUUGGUUAUAUUAUUACAGAUUUACUGCACGUGUCUAAACUCUUUAGUCACUCAUGUUACCCUCCCACACAUUUGGCACAUCCCACGUGAGUUUAGCUGCAAAAAGCCCAUAGACAUUCGCACUAAAGGCCUUAUCUCAAAAAAGCAUUACAUUUAUUCAUUUUCUACAUAAGCUAAAAACCCUUUCACUCAAUGUCAGAGGCUGUAACCACUCACCACAGCAUGACACUGGUCUGACAUACCUUGUGCUGACACCCCCCCUCAUACCUCCGAGAUAAAUGGCUCCCUCGUGUGUACUUCAUUUCUUCAUCAAUUAAAACCACAUCCUAAUGUCUAGGCACAAUUAGUCACUACUGCCCAUUACAAGCUCCGACACAUAUUACAGGUGUUUGGCUUGAAGUGAUUAUUAGGAGCAUGAUUAGUUUUGAUCUAUUCCUUCUACAUACAGUAUAUAAUACUAAAAUAUUCCUGACUUCCUCCACACUCUAUUAACUGACAUUAAUGCCUUUUCCCAGUGUGAUAUAUUAUUACUGUAGUGUUCGUCAAAGCUGAUACAUUUUCCUCCACCUAGAGCAGAGGUUCUCAA